rnacentral:hammerhead_ribozyme from 1 species
AUCCGGCUGACGAGUCCUAAAUAGAACGAAACGCCCGUCCUGGAU